UUGACCUCGGAUCAGGUAGGGAUACCCGCUGAACUUAAGCAUAUCAUAAGCGGAGGAAAAGAACCAACAGGGAUGCCUCAGUACGCA
rnacentral:rRNA from 1 species